rnacentral:misc_RNA from 1 species
GAUGAAGAACGCAGCGAAAUGCGAUACGUAAUGUGAAUUGCAAAUUCAGUGAAUCAUCGAGUCUUUGAACACACAUUGCGCCCCCUGGUAUUCCGGGGGGCAUGCCCGUCCGAGCGUCAUUGCUGCCCUCAAGCACGGCUUGUGUGUUGGGCCCCGUCCUCCGAUCCCGGGGGACGGGCCCGAAAGGCAGCGGCGGCACCGCGUCCGGUCCUCGAGCGUAUGGGGCUUUGUCACCCGCUCUGUAGGCCCGGCCGGCGCUUGCCGAUCAACCCAAAUUUUUAUCCAGGUUGACCUCGGAUCAGGUAGGGAUACCCGCUGAACUUAAGCAUAUCAAUAAGCGGAGGA